AAACUGGUUUGUAUGUGUUAGUUCAAUCGAAAGCACCAAAAAGGAAAUGAAUAUCAUGCUUCUUGAUCAUAGUUUUAGAUAGUUUUUCUUGUGACAAUUUCUUAGCUUCUUAUAAAGGGGACAUGGAAGAGCAUAAAAGAAAGAGGAAUGAGUGUUCAUAAAUCUGGUGAAGGGGUAAACAUUUUUCUGGUUAGAAAAAAAGACAUUUCUGUAUUAUGAACGGCGGAACACUGAAAGAUAAAUGAUGGUUUGAUUUCUCUUCACUGAUUUAAAAGUUGUGAUUACAUGAGCUGCUGACUGUUGUAUAAUUUGG
rnacentral:lncRNA from 1 species